rnacentral:rRNA from 1 species
GUGGUAAUGCCGGAUGCUCCAGUUGAUCGCAUGGUCUUCUGGGAAAGCCUUUGCGGCAUGGGAUGGGGUCGCGUCCUAUCAGCUUGAUGGCGGGGUAACGGCCCACCAUGGCUUCGACGGGUAGCCGGCCUGAGAGGGCGACCGGCCACAUUGGGACUGAGAUACGGCCCAGACUCCUACGGGAGGCAGCAGUGGGGAAUAUUGCACAAUGGGCGCAAGCCUGAUGCAGCGACGCCGCGUGAGGGAUGGAGGCCUUCGGGUUGUAAACCUCUUUUGUUAGGGAGCAAGGCAUUUUGUGUUGAGUGUACCUUUCGAAUAAGCACCGGCUAACUACGUGCCAGCAGCCGCGGUAAUACGUAGGGUGCAAGCGUUAUCCGGAAUUAUUGGGCGUAAAGGGCUCGUAGGCGGUUCGUCGCGUCCGGUGUGAAAGUCCAUCGCUUAACGGUGGAUCCGCGCCGGGUACGGGCGGGCUUGAGUGCGGUAGGGGAGACUGGAAUUCCCGGUGUAACGGUGGAAUGUGUAGAUAUCGGAAAAAAAACACCA